rnacentral:rRNA from 1 species
GACGAACGCUGGCGGCGUGCUUAACACAUGCAAGUCGAACGGAAAGGCCCUGCUUUUGUGGGGUGCUCGAGUGGCGAACGGGUGAGUAACACGUGAGUAACCUGCCCUUGACUUUGGGAUAACUUCAGGAAACUGGGGCUAAUACCGGAUAGGAGCUCCUGCUGCAUGGUGGGGGUUGGAAAGUUUCGGCGGUUGGGGAUGGACUCGCGGCUUAUCAGCUUGUUGGUGGGGUAGUGGCUUACCAAGGCUUUGACGGGUAGCCGGCCUGAGAGGGUGACCGGCCACAUUGGGACUGAGAUACGGCCCAGACUCCUACGGGAGGCAGCAGUGGGGAAUAUUGCACAAUGGGCGGAAGCCUGAUGCAGCAACGCCGCGUGCGGGAUGACGGCCUUCGGGUUGUAAACCGCUUUCGCCUGUGACGAAGCGUGAGUGACGGUAAUGGGUAAAGAAGCACCGGCUAACUGCGUG